rfam:Octopus bimaculoides Scaffold119903_contig_112, whole genome shotgun sequence.
UUGUCUAUUUCGGCGGUAAAUAUAAUAAAAUUGCAACCAUUCAGAGAAGAUUAGAUUGGUUUUUGCUCAUCAUUGACUUUAACAUUCGUGAAGCGUUCCACAUUAUA